rnacentral:tRNA from 1 species
GCGGGUGUAGUUUAGUGGUAAAACUACAGCCUUCCAAGCUGUUGUCACGAGUUCGAUUCUCGUCACCCGCU